UUAGCGCAGUGAGCAUUUCCCAAUGUAUAUGAAUGUCGAAUCCCUACGCUGAACACCUGAAACUAACAGAGCGUUGUAUGUCACGCUUCAGCGAAGAAAAAGGAAACGAACACAGUGUUCACCAGACAUUUGUGGACUGCCUGAAUGUUGAAUGAGUCAGACACCGAUCAGUUGGUCAGAACCGACUCCUGCCUGAGACCCGACUGCUAAAUAUUCAGGAACUUGACCGGCGAGCUGUUAAACGGUCUGACUUAGUGACUUGUUUCCAAUGACUAGAAAGUGGUAGAAGUGACAGUUUAUGACUUCUGAGAUGAGGACAUAAAGGGUAUUGUGACUUCUUCCUCGAAUACAUCCUCUUCUGAGGGAAGCCAGCUGCCAUGUCAUGAGGAUAUUCAAGUAUCCUCUGAAGGGAAACUGAGGCCUUUUUUUUACGAACCAGCACCAACUUGUCAUCCACGUGAGUGAGCCACCUUGGAAGUCGAUUCACCAGCCCCAGUCAAGCCUUCAGAUGAAUGCAGCCCUGUCCAACAUCUUAACCCAACCUCAUGAGAGACUCCAAGUCAGAACUGCCCAGCGAAGCUGCUCCUGAAUUUCUGACCCAUAGAAGAUAAUAAAUGUUUCUUAUUGUUUUAAACUACUAAGUUUUGGGGAAAUUUACUAUACAUCCCGAGAUAAUAUACUGUAGAACUCAAACCACUGCUAUUUUUGGUGCUUACACUUUUAGGUUUGUUACAUCUUCCUCUUGGUGGAUUGACCCUUUUAUCAUUCUUUUUUUUUUUUUUUAACGUUUUAUUUAUUUUUGAGACAGAGAGAGAGCAUGAACGGGGGAGGGGCAGAGAGAGAGGGAGACACAGAAUCGGAAGCAGGCUCCAGGCUCUGAGCCAUCAGCCCAGAGCUCGACGCGGGGCUCGAACUCACGGACCGCGAGAUCGUGACCUGAGCCGAAGUCGGCUGCUUAACCGACUGAGCCACCCAGGUGCCCC